UACGAAGGGGGCUAGCGUUGCUCGGAAUCACUGGGCGUAAAGCGCACGUAGGCGGAUUGCUAAGUCAGGGGUGAAAUCCUGGAGCUCAACUCCAGAACUGCCUUUGAUACUGGCGACCUUGAGUCCGGGAGAGGUGAGUGGAACUGCGAGUGUAGAGGUGAAAUUCGUAGAUAUUCGCAAGAACACCCGUGGCGAAGGCGGCCAGCUGGGCCGUCCCUGACGCUGAGGCGCGAAGGCGUGGGGAGCGAACGGG
rnacentral:rRNA from 1 species